rnacentral:rRNA from 1 species
GACGAACGCUGGCGGCGUGCCUAAUACAUGCAAGUAGAACGCUGAAGGAGGAGCUUGCUCUUCUGGAUGAGUUGCGAACGGGUGAGUAACGCGUAGGUAACCUGCCUGGUAGCGGGGGAUAACUAUUGGAAACGAUAGCUAAUACCGCAUAACAGUAGAUGUUGCAUGACAUUUGCUUAAAAGGUGCAAUUGCACCACUACCAGAUGGACCUGCGUUGUAUUAGCUAGUUGGUGGGGUAACGGCUCACCAAGGCGACGAUACAUAGCCGACCUGAGAGGGUGAUCGGCCACACUGGGACUGAGACACGGCCCAGACUCCUACGGGAGGCAGCUGUAGGGAAUCUUCGGCAAUGGACGGAAGUCUGACCGAGCAACGCCGCGUGAGUGAAGAAGGUUUUCGGAUCGUAAAGCUCUGUUGUAAGAGAAGAACGAGUGUGAGAGUGGAAAGUUCACACUGUGACGGUAGCUUACCAGAAAGGGACGGCUAACUACGUG